UACGGAGGGUGCAAGCGUUGUUCGGAAUUACUGGGCGUAAAGCGCACGUAGGCGGAUAUUUAAGUCAGGGGUGAAAUCCCGGGGCUCAACCCCGGAACUGCCUUUGAUACUGGGUAUCUCGAGUCCGAGAGAGGUGAGUGGAAUUCCGAGUGUAGAGGUGAAAUUCGUAGAUAUUCGGAGGAACACCAGUGGCGAAGGCGGCUUACUGGUCCAUUACUGACGCUGAGGUGCGAAAGCGUGGGGAGCAAACAGG
rnacentral:rRNA from 1 species